rnacentral:rRNA from 1 species
UACAGAGACUGCAAGCGUUAUUCGGAUUCACUGGGCGUAAAGGGUGCGCAGGCGGCCAGGUGUGUUAGGCGUGAAAGCCCGGGGCUUAACCCCGGAAUUGCACCUAAAACUACUUGGCUAGAGCAUUGGAGAGGGUAGCGGAAUUCACGGUGUAGCAGUGAAAAUGCGUAGAUAUCGUGAGGAACACCAGAGGCGAAGGCGGCUACCUGGACAAUUGCUGACGCUCAGGCACGAAAGCGUGGGGAGCAAAAGGG